ACCUCUUCCUGCGAUGAGCUCGGCACGGGAAUUAUUAUUGUCAAUUUUACUUGCAAGAAGUUUCCUACAAGAGCCAAGGAAUCCAUGCGAGUAAACAUUUACGGGCACCAUAGAUAAAAGGCUUGUGUUUUAAUCCUCAUCCUCUCCACCUGUUAGCUCUGAGUCUCAGUUUUCUCAUCUCUAAAAAUGGGGAUAUUCACAGGAGUUGCUGCAUCGAGUUGUGAGGAUUAAAAGUUGGAUGUAACGGCUUGGUAAUUAUGAGCUCUUCUAGUGUCCCUUCCUCUUCCCUGUGCCCAAGGGGUUUUAGGAAAGCAUUUUAUCUCCACAGCAAUCCUAUGAGGUUGAUACUACUAUCCUCAUAGAAGGGGAAACUGAUGCCAGGAGAGGUUCAAGCGUCUUACCUGAAGUCACAAAGCAAACUGAGUGAUGAAGGAAGACUUGAACCUAGAAAAUUUCACUGCAAAGGAGUAAAAGUCCCUCGCAAUUUCCGACUGUUGGAAGAACUCGAAGAAGGCCAGAAAGGAGUAGGAGAUGGCACAGUUAGCUGGGGUCUAGAAGAUGACGAAGACAUGACACUUACAAGAUGGACAGGGAUGAUAAUUGGGCCUCCAAGAGUCUGCCGUGCACCUGUAUCCUAGUUCCUUGGGCCAUUCAGCAAAGGUCCCUGGCAAGCCUGUCAGCUCCUGGUCUAUUCCAGGCACUACUAGACCCAGAGGCCUUUGCAAAGAAGACGAAGACAAUGAGGAUGGGGAAAAGUGGCCUCUUUCAGACCUUCCUGAUUUGUGAGAGUUCCCAGUCUUCAUAAUGCCAGCCAACCGUUUUUUGAGGACACAUAGUAAACCCUCAAGAAAUGUCUCUUAACUCUCACAAGACCCCAUUGUUAGGUGCAAUUGCAUUCCAUUUCACAGAUGAGGAGACAGACUCAGAGGAGUCAGAUCUCUUGCCCAAAGUCACAUAGCUGGUAACCCCCAAACCAGAUCUGACUCCAGAGCCUGUGCUCUUAACCACUGUGCUGUGGUGUCUCCCUUUUGUUUACAUUUUGAGUUUUCAUCUGUUACCAUUAUAGAAGAUACUAAUCAAGUAGUAACUUGAUGU
rnacentral:lncRNA from 1 species